AGAACGAACGCUGGCGGCAUGCCUAACACAUGCAAGUCGAACGCGUGGCCGGACUUCGGUUUGGCCAUGAGUGGCGCACGGGUGAGUAGCGCGUGGGAACCUGCCCUGUUGUGGGGGAUAACCGAGGGAAACUUCGGCUAAUACCGCAUACGCCCUGGUGAGCGAUCAUCGGGGGAAAGAUUUAUCGCAGCAGGAGGGGCCCGCGUCGGAUUAGCUAGUUGGUGGGGUAACGCCCACCAAGGCGAUGAUCCGUAGCUGGUCUGAGAGGAUGAUCAGCCACACUGGGACUGAGACACGGCCCAGACUCCUACGGGAGGCAGCAGUGGGGAAUAUUGGACAAUGGGCGCAAGCCUGAUCCAGCAAUGCCGCGUGAGUGAUGAAGGCCUUCGGGUUGUAAAGCUCUUUCGCCCGCGACGAUGAUGACGGUAGCGGGAGAAGAAGCCCCGGCUAACUUCGUGCCAGCAGCCGC
rnacentral:rRNA from 1 species